rnacentral:lncRNA from 1 species
GGUAGAGCUUGCAGUGAGCCGAGAUGGCACCACUGCACUCCAGCCUGGGCGACAGAGCGAGACUCUGACUCAAAAAAACAAAGAAAAAAAAAAAGAAAAACAAAGGUUUUUAAAGGAAAAAAUGAGGAGGAUUACAUAAUGGUUUUGAAAUAAUUAUCCUUGGCUACAAAUAUCAAUAACAAAGGUCACACCAGUCCGAGGUUGGACAGGCAGUUGCUAGGCAGAUGUCUUUGCAGAAGUAAUUUUUGUGUGAGGUUGCAGCAGCCUAUGUGCAAGGUUGUAAUUUUUGCAGAAUCUUUUGUGAUCAUUUUUGGUAUUAGGCAUACAAGCAUGAGAAUCCCCUCUUCAUGGCCUCCCCAGCUCUAUUUGUCAUGGUUUGUUUUUUUAAAACACUAGUGACUCUAUUUGAAUUCUAACAACUUUCACAUUCCCAACACAAAUGAUAGACAUUUAAGGGAUUAAUAUGCUAAUUACCCUGAUCAUUACACAUUGUAUACAUGUAUCAAAAUAACACACUGUACCCCAUAAAUACAUACAAUUAUGUGUCAAUUAAAGAUCAUUAUUUUUAAAAAUAGGACCAGAAAAAAAGAUGCAGACCCUCUAGUAAGGAGAUGGGAUCAGGAGUGAUUCCAUGGUUAAUUUAACCCACAUAAACAACUAAUCGUAAGUAUGGUAUGAGCGUUUAUGUAAAGACUGUGACAACAGGAAAUGUCUGUCUUUGAACCCAAGGUUAUCUAACCAGCACACCAAUGGUGAAAGAUUAACUUUGUCAGAAACCAGGAACCAUGAAGCAGAGGUCACUGUUUCCAACCUGUGUGUUUUCCACGGUAAUUGGCAGCCUCCCCAAGGGAAAUUAAAACAUAUGUCCACACAGAAAUUUGAAUGCAAAUGUUCAUAGCAGCAUUACUCAUAAUAGCCCAAAGCUGAAACAGCCCCAAUGUUCCACAGUGGAUGAAUCGAUGAACAAAAUAUGGCGCAUCCACAGAAUGGAAUACAAAGAAAGAAAGCGUGGACACAUGCUGCAACAUGGAUGAACCUUGAAAAUAUUGUGCCAGGGGAAAGAAACCAGAGACAAAGAGCCACAUGUUGUAGGAUUCCAUGUAUAUGAAAGGUCCUAAUAAGCAAACUCAUAAAGACAAAAAGCAGAUUGGUGGUCACUUAGGGCUAGGGUGAGGAGUGACGGUUAGUGGGCACUGAGUUUCUCCGGGGGGAACUGAAUUAGAUGGUGGUGAUUGCACAAUUCUGUGAAUAGACUAAAAACCACUGGACUGUAAGAGGGUGAAUUUUUUGGUAUAUGAAUUACAUCUCAAUAAAGCUGUUACUUAAAACGUGGAAAAAAUAAUAAGCAGUCACUAGCUAUUCUCAAUAAAACAGAAACCACAUAGGUAAGACCAAUAUUGUCACAUUUUGGUUUUGGCUGAUAAUGGGGCAAGUGAGCAUAGUCACCGUUGCCAGAGGAUUUACCAUUUACAAAUAAAAGUUUCUGUGGAGUGACAACCUUUUACUGUGUGCCAGGUACUGUGCUAAGCACUUUGUAUAUACCGAUUCAUGUAAUCCUUGUGACAGCCCCGUGAUGCCCCAUUUUUAGAUGGGGAGAUUGAGGUUAGGAGAGUUGAAUAACUUGCCCAUAGCUGCACAGCUUCCAAGUUGCAGAGACAGGAUUUUCACCGAGUCUUAUUACAAACUGCCUCAUAUUGUGUGGACUGGAAAUUCUAUGUUGAGGUUAAUUUAUUCAUUUGUUGUUUAGUUCUUUUCAUCAUUGUUGAGUUACCAAUGGCAGUUCCAGA